CGUGGGGUGCAAGCGUUGUUCGGAAUUACUGGGCGUAAAGCGUGUGUAGGCGGCUCGCUAAGUCUGGUGUGAAAUCCCAAGCUUAACUUGGGAACUGCAUCGGAAACUGGCGAGCUCGAGUCCGGGAGAGGGUAGCGGAAUUCCUGGUGUAGAGGUGAAAAUUCGUAGAUAUCAGGAGGAACACCGGUGGCGAAGGCGGCUACCUGGACCGGUACUGACGCUGAGACACGAAAGCCGUGGGGAGCAAAACAGGAUUAGAUACCCUGGUAGUCCACGCCGUAAACGAUGAGCGCUAGGUGUCGCGGGUAUUGACCCCUGCGGUGCCGCAGGUAACCCAUUAAGCGCUCCGCCUGGGGAGUACGGUCGCAAGACUA
rnacentral:rRNA from 1 species